GCGGCGGCGGUCCGCUGCGUCCGCCCUGCAUGUGGCGAUUGUAGAUGCUGCAAUAGAACAGAAGAGUGAAUUGAGCAUGUACAGAGAUAGAGA